CCUACGGGUGGCUGCAGUGAGGAAUAUUGGUCAAUGGACGAGAGUCUGAACCAGCCAAGUAGCGUGAAGGAUGACUGCCCUAUGGGUUGUACACUUCUUUUAUAUGGGAAUAAAACGUUCCACGUGUGUGAUUUUGUAUGUACCAUAUGAAUAAGGAUCGGCUAACUCCGUGCCAGCAGCCGCGGUAAUACGGAGGAUCCGAGCGUUCUCCGGAUUUAUUGGGUUUAAAGGGCGCGUAGGUGGAUUGUUAAGUCAGUUGUGAAAGUUUGCGGCUCAACAGUAGAAUUGCAGUUGAAACUGGCAGUCUUGAGUACAGUAGAGGUGGGCGGAAUUCGUGGUGUAGCGGUGAAAUGCUUAGAUAUCACGAAGAACUCCGAUUGCGAAGGCAGUUCACUGGACUGCAACUGACACUGAGGCUCGAAAGUGUGGGUAUCAAACAGGAUUAGAUACCCUGGUAGUC
rnacentral:rRNA from 1 species